UACAGAGGUCUCAAGCGUUGUUCGGAUUCAUUGGGCGUAAAGGGUGCGUAGGUGGCGCGCUAAGUCAGGUGUGAAAUUUCGGAGCUUAACUCCGAAACUGCAUUUGAUACUGGCGUGCUUGAGGACUGGAGAGGAGACUGGAAUUCACGGUGUAGCAGUGAAAUGCGUAGAGAUCGUGAGGAAGACCAGUGGCGAAGGCGGGUCUCUGGACAGUUCCUGACACUGAGGCACGAAGGCCAGGGGAGCAAACGGG
rnacentral:ncRNA from 2 species